GGCUCAGGUUGAACGCUGGCGGAAUGCUUUACACAUGCAAGUCGAACGGCAGCACGGGAGCAAUCCUGGUGGCGAGUGGCGAACGGGUGAGUAAUAUAUCGGAACGUGCCCAGUCGUGGGGGAUAACGUAGCGAAAGCUACGCUAAUACCGCAUACGAUCUAUGGAUGAAAGCGGGGGAUCGCAAGACCUCGCGCGAUUGGAGCGGCCGAUAUCAGAUUAGGUAGUUGGUGAGGUAAAGGCUCACCAAGCCGACGAUCUGUAGCUGGUCUGAGAGGACGACCAGCCACACUGGGACUGAGACACGGCCCAGACUCCUACGGGAGGCAGCAGUGGGGAAUUUUGGACAAUGGACGCAAGUCUGAUCCAGCCAUUCCGCGUGCAGGAUGAAGGCCCUCGGGUUGUAAACUGCUUUUGUACGGAACGAAAAGGUUUCUAUUAAUACUAGGAGCUCAUGACGGUACCGUAAGAAUAAGCACCGGCUAACUACGUG
rnacentral:rRNA from 1 species